rnacentral:other from 1 species
GUUUAUAUCCCACACAGUUCAGAUAAAAC